rnacentral:rRNA from 1 species
UACGUAGGGUGCAAGCGUUGUCCGGAAUUAUUGGGCGUAAAGAGCUCGUAGGCGGUCUGUCGCGUCGGCUGUGAAAACCCGAGGCUCAACCUCGGGCCUGCAGUCGAUACGGGCAGACUAGAGUGUGGUAGGGGAGACUGGAAUUCCUGGUGUAGCGGUGAAAUGCGCAGAUAUCAGGAGGAACACCGGCGGCGAAGGCGGGUCUCUGGGCCAUAACUGACGCUGAGGAGCGAAAGCCAGGGGAGCGAACGGG